rnacentral:rRNA from 1 species
UACGUAGGGCGCAAGCGUUGUCCGGAAUUAUUGGGCGUAAAGAGCUCGUAGGCGGCUUGUCACGUCGGGUGUGAAAGCCCGGGGCUUAACCCCGGGUCUGCAUUCGAUACGGGCUAGCUAGAGUGUGGUAGGGGAGAUCGGAAUUCCUGGUGUAGCGGUGAAAUGCGCAGAUAUCAGGAGGAACACCGGUGGCGAAGGCGAGUCCCUGGACAACUUCUGACGCUGAGGCACGAAAGCUAGGGGAGCAAACAGG